AUUUGGCACUCGAUCGAUCAUUGAAAGUUUUUCGUCUAUUUGAGAGCUUUGAAAAAGGGAAGACUUUUUUUGGCUGACCUUGCGAGAAAUCUAUUCAGAGCCGCAAUUCUUUCGGUUAGGCACUGUACAUCUUUGAUCGUGCCUAGAGGCUUCACUUUUGGAGAGCUUAAAUCUUUUUAGGAUUUGCCUCAAUCCUCUGUUGCGACACCAUGAAGCCCAAAA
rnacentral:lncRNA from 1 species